UCAGGAAAGCUGGCCCUGUGCUCCCAGCAGCUGCCAAAUGGCCCGGAUCCUCCUUUCUCCCACCACAGCCGGCUCCCGGUUUCCGGCACCCUUGGGAGAUGCUAGAGGCUCCCUCCAGGGCAGGCGGCACAGGCUGCUGGGUCCUGACCUGCCAGCGCCCCCCCCCCCCAACCCCCGCCCUGCCGCCCCACCGCUGGAACAUGGACUUCAGAGCCAGGAAAAGUCAACAGAGUCCAGACAGAGAGGACGCCUGUGACUGCUGAGUGCCCAACCAAUUCCCAAUUCCCCAAACACCAUGAAAAAGAAAUCUUUGAAGAAAUCGAAACUACCCGGGAGGGGAGAGCCCUGAGCAGCCCCAGCAUCCGGACCGCAGCGUCUCCGUCUCGCACCAUGAACCGCAAUGCCCAGCCCUUCCUUCCUGGCACCCACACUGGUGUCCCCCCAACUUAUGAGAUGCUCAAGGAGGAGCAUGAGGUGGCGGUACUCGGGGGGCCCCAGAGUCCAGCUCCCAUGGCCACCACC